UACGUAGGGUGCGAGCGUUGUCCGGAAUUAUUGGGCGUAAAGAGCUCGUAGGCGGUCUGUCGCGUCGGCUGUGAAAACUCGGGGCUCAACCCCGAGCCUGCAGCCGAUACGGGCAGACUAGAGUUCGGCAGGGGAGACUGGAAUUCCUGGUGUAGCGGUGAAAUGCGCAGAUAUCAGGAGGAACACCGGUGGCGAAGGCGGGUCUCUGGGCCGAUACUGACGCUGAGGAGCGAAAGCGUGGGGAGCGAACAGGAUUAGAUACCCCCGUAGUCC
rnacentral:rRNA from 1 species